UUUUCUCUCUGUAAAUUUCCGUUUUCAUGACCCUUAUCAUCGUCUGCUUAUUAUAUUUUCAAGAUAUUUAUACUCUUUAAAAAAAAAGAUUUUUCAUUUUUUUCUGUCUCCGUAUAUAGAGCGGUUGGGUAUCAACUGCAACUUUUUCUUUAUAUCUUCAACCUUCUUUCACUGGACGCCUCUCAUAAUUUUCAGACAAAAGUUUGUAUUUUUUUUCAUUAAUUAUUGAAUUGAAGCAAAAUCAACAAUCAAUCUCGUAAGGACAAAUGCUGGACCUAUUCCAAUUUCAUCUUGGAUUGUAAUUUCGUGCGCCCUUUAAUUUCCCAAUUACUUAUAUUUUGGGGAUUUUGUUUUUCCAUGCCUUAAUUUGAUCUUUGUGAUCCUAUAUGGUAUACCCUUGUGGUUAUAUGCAGAUCUACAUGUAUCUGCUUCUUUGUAAUGAUCGCUAUACCUAUAAAGUCACAAUCUUUUUGAUCUAAUGGUAUUUUGACUUUUCAGGACUAUGAUAUUGUUGAAUUGUAAUACUUGGGUGUCUCUUUGUUAAUUUAUUCAUCUGCAAUUAACAAUAAUAUCAUCUGGUUGGAGUUGGAUUUCCUUUUAGACUGUGUUUCUAUUGGGCUUUUGGUUAAAAAUUUACAAUAUUAUGUUCUAUUUGCAAAAUUAAUGGAUCAACGUGGAAUAUGUUAUCUUGAUUUGCUAAUAUUGCUACAAAAUUUGAUCUUUGGCGGCCAGGGGGGGGGGGGGUUAUUAACAUGGUAUAUUUUAUUUGUCAUUUUUGGGGUUUUAGAUGGUGGGUUUUGUUUCAAAUUUGACUAAAUUACCUCCCUUAUUCCUAAUUUGCACUUCUCAAUCAUCUUUUAAUUUGAAUCCUGCUAGACAUUUUCUUCUGGCUUUGUAUUGUACAAGAACAUCGUGCACAUUACCAUCAUCUUUUUCAUACUUAACUGCAGGUUUUAGGACUCAUCGCUGACUGUGGCUAAGAUAUAGACUAGUACUGCAUUGUAUUCAACACUUAUUGCUUCCAGAUGUCUAGGACUGUACAACGUUGAAAAUAAAUACGGCUCGUGAAGUUUUGCCAUUAAUUGCAUUCUAGAGUGGCAUAAGGAUUGUAUAGUAAUUCGUUCAGUAAUACUGACCAAAGUUGCAAGUUUCAGAAGAACCAGUGUAGAGAAGAGACUUGGUGUAUUUCUUGGUGAGUAUGCUUGCCCGAAGUCGUAGAUGUGGGUAAUGUUUGUUUAUUAUGUGUUCAACUGCCUCAUGAUAAAUUCUUUAAUAUCUAUCCCUUCAUUUGCUAGCUCACAUGCAUAUCAGUGCACACUCCUUUUUGUUUAGGUUCUUGUCCCAAUGCAAAAUUGUAAAUUUUCUGAGAGGUUACUGAUUUGUGGGAAAUGGCCUGACAACAUAAUCAUGUAGGAAGCCGAAAUGAUUAUGCACUCUAUUUUCCAAGCAAGAAAAGAAAAUAAGGAGAUGGGAAAACAUUAGUCCUAUAGAAUAGACGACAGAGCUGAAUAGACUGAAUAAUUUUGCUAAGAUAGACAAUAAUGCUCUACAUAUAUAUUUCGACAUGCAUGAGAGAACUUUCCGUAUUGGCUAGCGUCCUCCAAGCACCGGAGAACGAAUCAAAUAGUUUUUCGUGUAAAUCAUACUACCCACUAGUACAUUUGACUUGCAUGGAUUGGUCGAUGAUCUUAUACUCAAACUCAGUUAAGACAUUGUGGAUGUACUACCUUUGUUUCUGUUGCAGGUUCAAAAAAUUUAAUAUAUUGGUUAUGUUUAUCAUAUUGUGGCUUCCUAUUCUUACCUUCAGUUUAGAGAAUAUUACUGCCAAAGAUGUUAAGUUCUCAUACUAAAGAACAGUGUACCGACUCUAUAGGUCAUGUAUUUUCCAGAACUUGGUUUGUUAUCUAGAUGUAGUUGUUAGGAGUGGUUAAGUUAGUGAGUGCUCGCAGGUUUGGAACUCCAAAAUGUAUCAGAGGUAACAUAAAAGAGGUUGUUGGUAGCUGGCCUGGGAUCAUGAAUUGUCCGCGAGUUCUUAACAUGUAUAAGGAUUCAUGUGCCCUGCUAUUUCUUUUUUCUCUUCAGUGGAUGUGUGUUGUGAUGGCGAGUGUGUUAAUAUAAAUAUUGUCUGGAUUAUUAAUAUGGAAGAGAAUGUCUGUCAAUAGGCGGGUAGUGGUAUUUCUCUCAGCCGCGAACUUGUAUAAAGAUUCUUUCUCUGGGGUCUCCUUCCACCUUUCGUUAGCUACGCUUUAAACAAUUUCCAGCAAUGUUUUUUCUUUAGUUUGACUACGCCAUCCACCUCUAAUUAUAGACAGCAAAGGCCCCUAGUCAAAGUAUAAUAACAUGGGGGUGCAAGGGUGAAAAUGCACUCAGAAAAGGAGCAACUCCCUUGCCUAAGCAAAGCUACUACUAGCAGCCCCUUUACUAGUAAGGGAAAGCAUAGCGCAUAAGAACCUCGGAUAGUGCAAAUCCACUCUCCUAGCACCGCCGGAAGAAUUAUAAUAAAUGUAGAGGGAGAAAGCAUGCAGCUUUAUAAAUACUUUUUGUUUGCUUCGCCUCGAAGUAAAUUUGUUUGUUAUUCAUAAGUUCAUUAGUUUGCACAAUCUCGUUCAUUAUUUUCGUAUAACAUGAGGAGUCGGGGUAUUCAAAACGGUUUGCUUUCUGUCUGUCAUGUUACGAAGUGUCCUGUUUCAUUAUUGCUGUUGCAUUAAUCUGGUGGUUCCAUUGUUUUUAGUAACACUUUAUAGUGUACGUAGAUGGCUAGUAGGAAACGAAGCAUCUCAAAUGAUGUAGAUAUGCAUGUCCUUUACAAGGAAUUGGAUGAAGCUUCAUGCCCUGUAUGCAUGGAUCAUCCACACAAUGCUGUUCUUCUCAUUUGUAGCUCUCAUGAUAAGGGAUGCCGGUCAUACAUUUGUGAUACAAGUUAUCGACAUUCAAAUUGCCUGGAUCGUUUCAAAAAACUCAGAGCCGAAAAUAGGGACAGUCCUCCUAUUAUGACACAGGGAAACCUGGACAUUGCUGUUGAGAACCCCGAUGAGCAGUUGAGAAAUUUAAGCGAUCGUUCUGUUGUUCAUGGAAAUAGUAACAGAGAUAAUCACAUGGAGAUGCAUGAAGGUACUGUACAAACUUCAGGUGCUGCUACUGUAUGGGGAAGUAGUCAAGAAACAGCGAGUGCUGACGGCUCAUCUGACUCAAAAUUGAAAUUGAAGUGUCCUAUGUGCCGUGGAGAUGUAUUAGGCUGGAAAGUAGUGGAAGAAGCCAGAAAGUAUCUGAAUUUGAAGAAUAGAAGUUGCUCUCGUGAAUCAUGCUCAUUCGUUGGUAACUACAGAGAAUUGCGCCGGCAUGCUAGGAGAGUUCACCCGACAGCACGCCCUGCUGAUAUUGACCCUUCCAGACAGCGAGCUUGGAGACGGCUUGAAAGCCAAAGAGAGUAUGAUGACAUUGUCAGUGCUGUUCGCUCUGCCAUGCCUGGUGCCGUCGUGCUUGGAGAUUAUGUGAUUGAGAGUGGAGACAGGCUAUCCGGUGAAAGAGAACGAGGCGCGGGUGGAAACAGCAGGUGGUUGAGUACCUUCUUCUUGUUUCAGAUGAUUGGUUCAAUGGACCCAAUAUCUGAAGCAAGAGGUGGCAGGUCAAGAGCUUUGUCAAGGCACCGUCGGUCCACUGGACCUUUAUCUAGGCGCCGCUAUCUUUGGGGUGAAAACCUGCUAGGUCUACAAGACGAUGACGAGGAUGAAGAUGAGCGUGAUCUUAACAUAUUGAGUGACAUGAGUGGUGACAUACCUACAAAUCCAAGAAGGCGUAGGCGGUUGAUGCGGUCGAGGUCAGAUGAAGAUCAGCAAUAGGACCUUACAACCUCUGCUCAUGGAUUGAACUAAUGAAUCGUACAGGAAGUACCAUUUGCUGUUCGACACUGGAUCAAUUAGAAUUUUCUUGUGGUCCACUUUGCUACAGCAAGACAGUGUGCAAUUUAGAGACUUGUUAUGGAUGAGCUUCAGAGACUGGAGAAGAAAUUAUCCAUAUGCCCGUCUUUGUGUGUUGGCAUGAAUGUAGCUUUUCUUUUCUUUUCUUUUCUUUUUUGGGUGGGUGGGUGGGGCUUUGGGGGGGGGGGUGGUUGUGUGUAUAAUAAUUUGAAGGUGAAAACAGGUUGCUGCAGCCGGUUUCGUUGUGAUUGUGGGUUCGUAGCAUCAGAAAUGUAAAUUUCCAUCUGAUCUUUGAAUUCCCCAACUCUGAAACAUUGUUUAACUUAUAUUCCAUCCUAUUGUAUUCUUAUCACUUUCCUAUCCAUAAAAUCAGUCGGUUCCUUUAUGUUUUAAUUAUCUUUUGCCUUGAAAGAGAAGAUAAAUCACAGUGCUUAGUGAAGUUGCAAGUGCGUGUUUUACCGUGUUCAUAAACUUAGCAACUCUUUUUGUUUAACCUUUAGCUUUAUUAUUAUUGGAUUGGAUAUUCAGUAAUAAUGGUUCGUAUAUGUGCAAGCAAAACCACCAUGGUGAUUUAACAUGACAACAUGGUAUCAAUGAGUAAUCCUUGCAGUUUCAAAUUGGUUUGACCAAACCGAUUAAAUAUUUGAUGUUUAAGAGAAAUAAAUCAUUUAUUACGUUUUCUUUUUCAACUACUCUAACGGUUCCAAUUGAUAUAGUAUUAAUUAAGUGAUACAUUUAAAUAAUUAUUUUUAUGAUUAAGGUAGAACAUGAGGAAGUAUUAAAGAUGGAGUAGUGUCAUGAGUAGGGUGUCAAUCAUUCGGUUCGGUCGGUUAUUUUACAAAAUUUGUACCAUAUCAAAUUUUCGGUUAUUUUAUUUCAUAUAAUCAAAAUUAGACUUUUCGAAACCGUCCCAAUCAUGUCGGUUUCUCUUCGGUAUCGGUGCGGUUCGGUUAAUUUUUCGAUAUUUUUUUAAAAUGUCAUGCAAGAGUCGCUAGUUAAAGUUAGAAUGCAAUAAUGUGUACUUGCAUAGGAUUUGGUAAAACUCUCUAGCUAGAUAUUUUUAUUAUUUUAAAAGUGAUGAUCAAAGGAACAUGAAAGAUAACCAGAAUAGAGAUGCAUCCCACUGUUCUAUGGUAGUGUAAAACAAAUUAAGCAAAGACGUGAGAAAUAUAAAUCAUACGAGUGGAUAUAUAAAUUUAUACUCAAGAAUAGAGCUUAAUCAAAGAUUAAUAUCCAAUAAAAGAAACUUAUAUUAUACAAGAAGAAAGAUAUAUCCAAUACAUCGUGGCUUGCUACCGAAGAUCGUUGGAAUACCUAGUCGCUUGCUACUCAAGAUGUUUGAACUAAUUUAGUUUAGAUAUGAGUAAAAGAAUAGGUUUGAAAGUUGGGACCUUGAAUAUUAAUUAUUAGUCACUUUGUAACCAUUUCCAUAAUCCCAAAACCAAAAAAAAAA
rnacentral:lncRNA from 1 species